CCUCAAUGGAAAGCUUGCUUUAGCUGGCUUAGUGGCGAACGGGUGAGUAACACGUAAAUAACCUGCCCAUGUGCCUGGGAUAACUGCUGGAAACGGUAGCUAAAACCGGAUAGGUAAUAGGAUGGCAUCAUCUUAUUAUUAAAGGACCGUAUGGUCUGAACAUGGAUGGAUUUGCGGCGCAUUAGCUAGUUGGUGAGGUAACGGCCCACCAAGGCGACGAUGCGUAGCCGACCUGAGAGGGUGAACGGCCACAUUGGGACAGAGACACGGCCCAAACUCCUACGGGAGGCAGCAGUAGGGAAUUUUCGUCAAUGGAGGAAACUCUGAACGAGCAAUGCCGCGUGAGUGAUGAAGGUUUUCGGAUCGUAAACCGC
rnacentral:rRNA from 1 species